rnacentral:rRNA from 1 species
CCUACGGGUGGCAGCAGUGAGGAAUAUUGGUCAAUGGGCGGAAGCCUGAACCAGCCAAGUAGCGUGAAGGAAGAAGGCUUUCGGGUUGUAAACUUCUUUUGACAGGGAAGAGCAGAAGACGGUACCUGACUAAGAAGCACCGGCUAAAUACGUGCCAGCAGCCGCGGUAAUACGUAUGGUGCAAGCGUUAUCCGGAUUUACUGGGUGUAAAGGGAGCGCAGGCGGCGCGUUAAGCCUGGUGUGAAAGCCCGCGGCCCAACCGCGGGACUGCAUUGGGAACUGGCGCGCUGGAGUGCCGGAGGGGUAGGCGGAAUUCCUGGUGUAGCGGUGAAAUGCGUAGAUAUUAGGAGGAACACCAGUGGCGAAGGCGGCCUACUGGACGGUGACUGACGCUGAGGCUCGAAAGCGUGGGGAGCAAACAGGAUUAGAUACCCGUGUAGUC